AGGACUCACUGCACAUUCUCCUGAACC
rnacentral:piRNA from 1 species